AGGACCUUCACCCAGGAGACCGGGGAUUGUAUCCCGCGUGUCACGUUUACUAAACUCAACUGUGGCUUUCAUAAUUUCCAAA